CAAACUGCCCUCCCAGAUCUGGGUGUGACUUGGUUGGUUGCCCAGAGGCGCCUUGGAAAUGGACUUCCCCUUCCGUCACAACCAGAGGACUCUGGCCCAUUUCUUAUCUUAAGAUGGCACUUAAAUGUGACAACUGUCUUGGCACCCUAGUCCCCUGCACCGAAUGGAGAAAGAAGUGAAGGGUGUCACUUCCAGGUCUGGACAGCAGACAGUAGGAUG
rnacentral:lncRNA from 12 species